AAGCGAGGUUGGGACAAUUACGGACUUUGCCCUCUAUGCAAGAGGGAGCAAGAAUCUGUGGCUCACAUCUUCUAGAGGUGCCGAUACACGUUGAGGCUCUGGGAAAUGCUGAAAGUAUGGCUACGAUUGGUUACCAUGGAUAUUACUUCUUGGCCGGGGAAACGAUCGAUCAAGGAUUGGUGGACAAGGAUGUCUAGCGCAACGAGGGUGCAUAGGAAAGCUAUGGCCUCCCUCACAAAGGUUGUUAGCUGGACUAUAUGGAAUCAGAGGAACAUACUAUUUAUCAACAUAAAGAGCGAGGCUAAACUUUGGAUCACCGCCGGGGCAAAAAAUGUGGGUCUUUUGAUGCCGGGAGAGUAA
rnacentral:rRNA from 1 species